rnacentral:rRNA from 1 species
UGAGUACGAGACGCUAAGGCGUCGAAGUAGUGUAUGUCAUACUUCCAAGAAAAGCUUGCACUGUCAUUCAUAAAAAAUGCCUGUACCAUAACCGACACAGGUGGGUAGGUAGAGUAUACUAAGGGGCGCGAGAUAACUCUCUCUAAGGAACUCGGCAAAAUAACUCCGUAACUUCGGGAGAAGGAGUGCCUUAUUUAUAUAAGGUUGCAAUAACAAGAUCCAAGCAACUGUUUACCAAAAACACAGGUCUCCGCUAAGUCGUAAGACGAUGUAUGGGGGCUGACGCCUGCCCAGUGCCAGAAGGUUAAAGAAGUUGGUUAGCAAUAGCGAAGCUGAUAACUGAAGCCCUGGUGAACGGCGGCCGUAACAAUAACGGUCCUAAGGUAGCGAAAUUCCUUGUCGGGUAAGUUCCGACCCGCACGAAAGGCGUAAUGAUUUGGAUACUGUCUCGGAGAGGGACUCGGUGAAAUAGACUUGUCUGUGAAGAUGCGGACUACCUGCACCUGGACAGAAAGACCCUAUGAAGCUUUACUGUAACUUGAAAUUGAAAUUGGACUUUAUUCGCGCAGUAUAGGUGGGAGGCGUUGAAAAUAAUCUUGCGGGACUACUGGAGCCAUCAGUGAGAUACCACUCUUAUAAUGUUAGAUUUCUAACUUUGAAUCAUUAUCUGGUCAAAGAACAGUUUCAGGCGGGCAGUUUGACUGGGGCGGUCGCCUCCCAAACGGUAACGGAGGCGUACAAAGGUUUCCUCUGAACGGGUAGAAAUCGUAUCUAGAGUAUAAAGGCAAAAGGAAGCUUGACUGUGAGACCUACAAGUCGAGCAGGGACGAAAGUCGGUCUUAGUGAUCUGACGGUACUGAGUGGAAAGGCCGUCACUCAACGGAUAAAAGUUACUCUAGGAUAACAGGCUGAUCUCCCCCAAGAGUUCACAUCGACGGGGAGGUUUGGCACCUCGAUGUCGGCUCAUCGCAUCCUGGGGCGGUAGUACGUCCCAAGGGUUGGGCUGUUCGCCCAUGAAAGCGGUACGCGAGCUGGGUUCAGAACGUCGUGAGACAGUUCGGUCCAUAUCCGGUGUAGGCGUUAGAAUAUUGAGAGGAGCCUUCUUUAGUACGAGAGGACCGAGAAGGACAUACCUCUGGUGUACCAGUUAUCGUGCCAACGGUAAACGCUGGGUAGCUAUGUAUGGAGUGGAUAACCGCUGAAAGCAUCUAAGUGGGAAGCCCACCUCAAGAUGAG